AACUUUUAGCAAUGGAUCUCUUGGCUCUCGCAUCGAUGAAGAACGCAGCGAAAUGCGAAAAGUAAUGUGAAUUGCAGAAUUCAGUGAAUCAUCGAAUCUUGGAACGCACCUUGCGCUCCUUGGUAUUCCGAGGAGCAUGCCUGUUUGAUUGUCAUUAAAUUCUCAACCUUCCAUCUUUUAUUAGCUUGGAUAGGCUUGGAUGUGGGGGUUGCAGGCUUCAUCAAUGAGGUCAGCUCUUCUUAAAUGCAUUAGCGGAACUUUUGUGGACCGUCUAUUGGUGUGAUAAUUAUCUACGCCGUGGAUGAGAAACAGCUUUAUCAAGUUCAGCUUCUAACCGUCCAUUGACUUGGACAAUUUUGACAAUUUGACCUCCAAUCAGGUAGGACUACCCGCUGAACUUAAGCAUAUCAAUAAGCGGAGGCU
rnacentral:misc_RNA from 1 species